GAUGAACGCUGGCGGCGUGCCUAAUACAUGCAAGUCGAGCGAACAGAUGAGGAGCUUGCUCCUCUGACGUUAGCGGCGGACGGGUGAGUAACACGUGGAUAACCUACCUAUAAUACUGGGAUAACUUCGGGAAACCGGAGCUAAUACCGGAUAAUAUAUUGAACCGCAUGGUUCAAUAGUGAAAGACGGUUUUGCUGUCACUUAUAGAUGGAUCCGCGCCGCAUUAGCUAGUUGGUAAGGUAACGGCUUACCAAGGCAACGAUGCGUAGCCGACCUGAGAGGGUGAUCGGCCACACUGGAACUGAGACACGGUCCAGACUCCUACGGGAGGCAGCAGUAGGGAAUCUUCCGCAAUGGGCGAAAGCUUGACGGAGCAACGCCGCGUGAGUGAUGAAGGUCUUCGGAUCGUAAAACUCUGUUAUUAGGGAAGAACAAAUGUGUAAGUAACUAUGCACGUCUUGACGGUACCUAAUCAGAAAGCCACGGCUAACUACGUG
rnacentral:rRNA from 1 species